rnacentral:rRNA from 1 species
UACGUAGGGGGCGAGCGUUGUCCGGAGUUACUGGGCGUAAAGCGCUUGUAGGCGGUCCACCACGUUUGGGGUGACAGUUGCCGACUUAAUCGGCAAAGUGCCUCAAAGACUGGCGGACUUGAGGGCCACAGAGGGACAUGGAACUCCAGGUGUAGUGGUGAAAUGCGUAGAUAUCUGGAAGAACACCAAAGGCGAAGGCAGUGUCCUGGGUGGUCGCUGACGCUGAGAGGCGAAAGCCAGGGGAGCGAACGGG